AUCAGUGAUUCAAAAGUACUGGAUGCGCAAUGCGGAUAUGAAUCGGCUGUAACGAACAUGCUGGUAGGUUUGGCAGGAGCAGAUUUUAUCCAUGAUGCCG
rfam:Dethiobacter alkaliphilus AHT 1 ctg36, whole genome shotgun sequence.